GGUUAAGCGACUAAGCGUACACGGUGGAUGCCCUGGCAGUCAGAGGCGAUGAAGGGCGUGCUAAUCUGCGAUAAGCGCCGGUAAGGUGAUAUGAACCGUUAUAACCGGCGAUACCCGAAUGGGGAAACCCAGUGUGAUUCGUCACACUAUCAUUAACUGAAUCCAUAGGUUAAUGAGGCGAACCGGGGGAACUGAAACAUCUAAGUACCCCGAGGAAAAGAAAUCAACCGAGAUUCCCCCAGUAGCGGCGAGCGAACGGGGAGGAGCCCAGAGCCUGAAUCAGCAUGUGUGUUAGUGGAAGCGUCUGGAAAGGCGCGCGAUACAGGGUGACAGCCCCGUACACAAAAGCGCAUGUGUUGUGAGCUCGAUGAGUAGGGCGGGACACGUGGUAUCCUGUCUGAAUAUGGGGGGACCAUCCUCCAAGGCUAAAUACUCCUGACUGACCGAUAGUGAACCAGUACCGUGAGGGAAAGGCGAAAAGAACCCCGGCGAGGGGAGUGAAAAAGAACCUGAAACCGUGUACGUACAAGCAGUGGGAGCACCCUUUGGGGUGUGACUGCGUACCUUUUGUAUAAUGGGUCAGCGACUUAUAUUCUGUAGCAAGGUUAACCGUAUAGGGGAGCCGGAGGGAAACCGAGUCUUAACCGGGCGUUAAGUUGCAGGGUAUAGACCCGAAACCCGGUGAUCUAGCCAUGGGCAGGUUGAAGGUUGGGUAACACUAACUGGAGGACCGAACCGACUAAUGUUGAAAAAUUAGCGGAUGACCUGUGGCUGGGGGUGAAAGGCCAAUCAAACCGGGAGAUAGCUGGUUCUCCCCGAAAGCUAUUUAGGUAGCGCCUCGUGAAUUCAUCUCCGGGGGUAGAGCACUGUUUCGGCUAGGGGGCCAUCCCGGCUUACCAACCCGAUGCAAACUGCGAAUACCGGAGAAUGUUAUCACGGGAGACACACGGCGGGUGCUAACGUCCGUCGUGAAGAGGGAAACAACCCAGACCGCCAGCUAAGGUCCCAAAGUCAUGGUUAAGUGGGAAACGAUGUGGGAAGGCCCAGACAGCCAGGAUGUUGGCUUAGAAGCAGCCAUCAUUUAAAGAAAGCGUAAUAGCUCACUGGUCGAGUCGGCCUGCGCGGAAGAUGUAACGGGGCUAAACCAUGCACCGAAGCUGCGGCAGCGACGCUUAUGCGUUGUUGGGUAGGGGAGCGUUCUGUAAGCCUGUGAAGGUGUGUCGUGAGGCAUGCUGGAGGUAUCAGAAGUGCGAAUGCUGACAUAAGUAACGAUAAAGCGGGUGAAAAGCCCGCUCGCCGGAAGACCAAGGGUUCCUGUCCAACGUUAAUCGGGGCAGGGUGAGUCGACCCCUAAGGCGAGGCCGAAAGGCGUAGUCGAUGGGAAACGGGUUAAUAUUCCCGUACUUGGUGUUACUGCGAAGGGGGGACGGAGAAGGCUAUGUUGGCCGGGCGACGGUUGUCCCGGUUUAAGCGUGUAGGUGUGUGUUCCAGGUAAAUCCGGUUCACUUUAACACUGAGGCGUGACGACGAGGCACUACGGUGCUGAAGCAACAAAUGCCCUGCUUCCAGGAAAAGCCUCUAAGCAUCAGGUAACAUCAAAUCGUACCCCAAACCGACACAGGUGGUCAGGUAGAGAAUACCAAGGCGCUUGAGAGAACUCGGGUGAAGGAACUAGGCAAAAUGGUGCCGUAACUUCGGGAGAAGGCACGCUGACACGUAGGUGAAGUGAUUUACUCAUGGAGCUGAAGUCAGUCGAAGAUACCAGCUGGCUGCAACUGUUUAUUAAAAACACAGCACUGUGCAAACACGAAAGUGGACGUAUACGGUGUGACGCCUGCCCGGUGCCGGAAGGUUAAUUGAUGGGGUCAGCGCAAGCGAAGCUCCUGAUCGAAGCCCCGGUAAACGGCGGCCGUAACUAUAACGGUCCUAAGGUAGCGAAAUUCCUUGUCGGGUAAGUUCCGACCUGCACGAAUGGCGUAAUGAUGGCCAGGCUGUCUCCACCCGAGACUCAGUGAAAUUGAACUCGCUGUGAAGAUGCAGUGUACCCGCGGCAAGACGGAAAGACCCCGUGAACCUUUACUAUAGCUUGACACUGAACAUUGAGCCUUGAUGUGUAGGAUAGGUGGGAGGCUUUGAAGCGUGGACGCCAGUCUGCGUGGAGCCGACCUUGAAAUACCACCCUUUAAUGUUUGAUGUUCUAACGUGGACCCGUAAUCCGGGUUGCGGACAGUGUCUGGUGGGUAGUUUGACUGGGGCGGUCUCCUCCUAAAGAGUAACGGAGGAGCACGAAGGUUGGCUAAUCCUGGUCGGACAUCAGGAGGUUAGUGCAAUGGCAUAAGCCAGCUUGACUGCGAGCGUGACGGCGCGAGCAGGUGCGAAAGCAGGUCAUAGUGAUCCGGUGGUUCUGAAUGGAAGGGCCAUCGCUCAACGGAUAAAAGGUACUCCGGGGAUAACAGGCUGAUACCGCCCAAGAGUUCAUAUCGACGGCGGUGUUUGGCACCUCGAUGUCGGCUCAUCACAUCCUGGGGCUGAAGUAGGUCCCAAGGGUAUGGCUGUUCGCCAUUUAAAGUGGUACGCGAGCUGGGUUUAGAACGUCGUGAGACAGUUCGGUCCCUAUCUGCCGUGGGCGCUGGAGAACUGAGGGGGCUGCUCCUAGUACGAGAGGACCGGAGUGGACGCAUCACUGGUGUUCGGGUUGUCAUGCCAAUGGCACUGCCCGGUAGCUAAAUGCGGAAGAGAUAAGUGCUGAAAGCAUCUAAGCACGAAACUUGCCCCGAGAUGAGUUCUCCCUGAGACUUAGAGUCUCCUGAAGGAACGUUGAAGACGACGACGUUGAUAGGCCGGGUGUGUAAGCGCAGCGAUGCGUUGAGCUAACCGGUACUAAUGAACCGUGAGGCUUAACCUU
rnacentral:rRNA from 1 species